rnacentral:lncRNA from 1 species
GAGGAGAAGCCCGCGGCGCAGUCUAUGGCCUCCUAGGGGGAAGGGCCUUGAGGUCCCUGUCCUUCUCCUAACAGGCGGCGACGCAGCCAUGGCCUUGCUGUCGUGGGAGUCCCAGACAGGGUAGGAAGGAGGGCCAUAGAAAGGAGGAGGGCCGAGUGAACAUGGAGUUUUGAAGGGGGAAACCAUUUGUGGUAUUUGAGUCCCGGAGGCAUAUGAAACCGCCCACAGAAGACACAUUCCAAAGUCUUCAGUGGGAACCUGGGAGAGGGCAGAGGACUGCGCGGCGCUGGAUGGGGUAGAGCGAGGAGGGUCGAGGAGGGGCGCCACAGCCCACAGAGCAGGCACCGACCUCACUGCGCAUGUGCCCUGGGCGUCUUCCCGUCGGCCCCUUUGCCCACGUGGUGAACGCGGCGGAGCUGUGAGGGUGUGAGGGUCGCGCUCCUGCUGUCUGGACUUUUUCUGUCCUACUGAGACACGGCCGACAUGAGAUGAUGAACCUCAAGUACCACCCCAGACAACAAGGCUGCUUCAUCAGGACACAAACCUGCCUGUACCAGGACCUCUGACCUGUGUGCAGAUACAUGGCACAUCAUUUAACUAAGGUGUUUAAUUUUUCUCAGCAAUGUUUUGUUGCUGUCAGUACAAUUUUGUGUUGCGGGAAGUCACGUACUCUGAACGGAGGGACUGGCUGAAACUGUGGCAGAAGAACAUAAAUUGUGAAGAUUUCAUGGACAUUUAUUAGCUCCCCAAAUUAAUACUUUUAUAAUUUCUUGCGCCUGUCUUUACUGCAGUCUCUGAACAUAAAUUGUGAAGAUUUCAUGGACAUUUAUCACUUCCCCAGUCAAUAUUCUUGUGAUUUCCUAUGCCUGUCUUUACUUUAAUCUCUUAAUCCCAUCAUCUUCGCAGGUAAGGAGGAUGUAUGUCACCUCAAGACCCUGUGAUGAUUGUGUUAACUGCACAAAUUGUUUGUAGAGCAUGUGUGUUUGAACAAUAUCAAAUCUGGGCACCUUAAGAACAGGAUAACAGCGAUGUUCAGGGAACAAGAGAGAUAACCUUAAAGUCUGGCUGCCUGUGGGCUGGGCGGAACAGAGCCAUAUUUCUCUUCUUUCAAAAGCAAAUAGGAGAAAUAACGCUGAAUUCUUUUUCUCAGCAAGGAAAAGCCCUGAGAAAGAGAAUGCGUGCCUAGUGGUAGGCCUCUAAAAUGGCUGCUCUGGGGACGUCUGUCUUUAAUGGUUGUGGAUAAGGGAUGAAAUAAGCCCCAGUCUCCCAUAGCGCUCCCAGGCUUAUUAGGACAAGGAAAUUCCCACCUAAUAAAUUUUGGUCAGACCAGUUGUCUGCUCUCAAACCCUGUCUCCUGAUAAGAUGUUAUCAGUGACAAUGCAUGCCUGAAACUUCAUUAGCAAUUUUAAUUUCGCCCUGGUCCUGUGAUCUCACUCUGCCUCCAUUUGCCUUGUAAUGUCUUAUUACCUUGAAAAGCAUGUGAUCUCUGUGACCCACACCCUAUUCGUACACUCCCUCCCCUUUUGAAAAUCACUAAUAAAAAGUUGCUGGUUUUGCGGCUUUGGGGGCAUCACAGAACCUGCCGACAUGUGAUGUCUCCCCCGGACAUCCAGCUUUAAAAUUUCUCUCUUUUUUACCCUUUCCCUUUAUUUCUCAGACUGGCUGACACUUAGGGAAAAUAGAAAAGAACCUACGUGAAUUAUCAGGGGCGGGUUCCCCCGAUAAUUUUGACUGAAGUAGAGUCAGUCAAAUAUUCUUGACUUGGUUCCAAUUUUAAAGAAGAAACAUUCAGUUUCUCACCAAUAAGUGUAAUAUUUGUAGCUUUCUAAAUAAAUGCUGUGUAUCAGUUUAAGG